CAGAAUUUUGUAGUGCCAGAAUCAAUCCAUAGGUUUUUGGGCCCUUGAGGAUAGUCACAGAAUGAUGCAUCUCAUUGCUGCAACUCCCAGUGACCCGUUCUGGUUCUGUCUCCUGAUUAUCUCCCUAAAAAUCUGCGGAUGGCUGCUUCACCUCUUCAGUCACCAGGGACUGCUCAACCAUCAGUUUCCAGAGCAAUCUCAUCAUCAGUCCACUACGGUGGAGAGAGGAGUGCCAGAGAAUCAAGUAAAAGACAGUUUUAACUCCAGCUAAAAGAAGGAAAGUCAACCUGCAUGACAUUUAUUUAUCAACGCUGGACAAAAAGUGACAGAAAUGGUCAUAAGCAUGGAUAUUGCAGCCUUUACAUCUUUUGUCUCAUCUGAAUAUCCCGGACAUCAAAGAAGAACUAGAGAGCCCCUGGGUGAAUGUUCUUUCUCAUACCGUGACUCUCAGGAUCUUGGCUGCAUGGAGACUCAGCUAGGAAAGAGAAGGAGGAUGAUCCAACCCUUGAAGAAGUUCACUCUUGGAGAUGUUGAAGACACAACUGCAUAAAACCAUAUGCAUCUGUGUUUGACCUCAAGAUGAUCCUGCUUUGAGCAGAACCUUGGACUGGAGACCUGCUGUAGUCCUAUCCAACCUGACCUAUCCUGUGAUGGUAAAUUCACAGAGGAGAGAGGACAAUAAUAAAAGGGAUCUUAAAAGCGGUUAUACUUUGUUAUGAAUGUAGAAAGUACAACUUUGCCUCCAAUAAUUAAAGCACAAGUUGUUUUACUGACCAUCCGGCCAUGGGAGUGUCAGACAUUAUCCACAGCAAAUUUUGCAAAAUAACAUACAGCUUGGAACAUUUAAAUCUACAAGGAGGAAAGAAAAAAUGAGAAGUAACAACUGACAUAUAUUUUUUUUUACAUAAGGAAAAGUAAAUUCAAAUAAUAUUUUCAUUGAAAUAUACUGUGGAUAACUUACUACACUCUCUGUGUCAAUGAGGUUUUGACAUUUAUCUGAUAGACUACUUGGUUUUGGGGUAGAAAAAUAUAGAAUAUUUCCCACAGAAAUAAGAGUCUAUUAUGACCAGUUUUAGGCAGCUUUCAUUGGAAGUGAUGAUAUGUUUCCCAAAGUAGAAAGCAGAAAUUAAAUACAAAGACCUUGUUAUGAGAAUGGCUUAGUUAUCAUUUGGAAGACAACCCCAAAUCAGACCAGGGAAUAAGGAGCAACAUAUUUUUUAUCUAAUGCAGUAACUUACCCCAGUUUACUUUGGGUCAAUGUUUUUAUAUUUUUGCCUGAAAAAGAGAAUGUUUUACUUUUCAGAGGUCAGUUGUUAAAAAUAAAGUUAGCUGAAGCUAGACAGUAUUUUACAAGAAGAGCUUUUAUUAAAACCAAUUUUCUGCUGAAAAAAGUCUGAUUGAAAACUUCAAUUCUUUUAAAUACCUGGUUGAGGCUUCAGGUUCUUAAAAAGCUCCAAGGAUGUGAUACAUGCAGGCAACAAAACUUCAGUGUGUUUUAAUUUGUUUUCUAUUAAUAUAUUUUUAAAUCUAUGAACAUUCAGUUCAGUAAAAACCAGUAUUUUCUAAACUUACACAGAAACAAGAAAGAUCUUGAUUCAGUUCUUCAAAUGGAUUUCUGCUUGAAAAUACUAAGAGAAAACUGCAGAGCUGGAAUAAUAUAAAUCAGAGCAAUUAUUCCUGCUGCUAUUCCAAAAAAGUAUACACUUAGAAUCACUGUAAUUUAGUAAACAAAACAUGCACUAGAUGACACAGGGGAGCACAAAAUACAAUAAGGGCUGAUAACAUAUUGCUGGUGAUAUUAAAAUGCUUGUAAUAGUCUGUCUUCAAUGCUGAAAAUAAAGGAGUUCACAAGGAACAACAAAAAAGAGCCAAAGUUUGUGAUGCAUUAAGAAUAACACUGGACUUAACUCUCUUUGUGUGUAUUAAAAUAACUAAGUGCAAAAUAUCUUCAUAACAUGAUGCACUUUUUUUUUUUUGCCAGAGAUAUGUUUGCUAUCCAGGGAUCACUUGUCCUUUCUUUUGAUGUCAGUAGAGUAUUAUUUAACAGACAACUUACCUGAAGUUAGAUGGAUUUUGAAAAUUUUUGUCACAUGACUUUAAUCUUCUUUGGAUGAAAAAAUGUUCUGCUGAGCAAUUAAAAACAUCAGAAUGGUGGUCUGAUUCUGACCUACUCUAAAUGCUAAUGAGAUCCAAACUGCUGCCAUGAACUUCAGAGAAGGAAAAAGCCUAAAGAGACAUAUAUAUUUCUCAGGAGACUGUUGCUCUUUAACCCUCAGGUCUUACUACAAUGAAAAAUCACAUCCAAGGACAUUGACUGUUUCUCAUCACAGUC